CGUUAAAAAGCUGAAAGACAGCAUUGGUCUCUUAAACCACCACUUAGUAAACAACGCCUACUUUUAACGA
rnacentral:tRNA from 1 species